rnacentral:rRNA from 1 species
GAUGAACGCUGACAGAAUGCUUAACACAUGCAAGUCAUUGGCGAAGCUGCGCUUGCGCAGUCUAGCCAAGGCGGACGGGUGAGUAACGCGUAAGGAACUUGCCCUGCAGACAGGGAUAACAGACGGAAACGACUGAUAACACCUGGCAUUGUCAGGCUGGCGCAUGCCGGCCUGAUGAAAGGAGACGCUGCAGGAGAGCCUUGCGUCCUAUUAGCUAGUUGGUGGGGUAACGGCCCACCAAGGCGAGGAUAGGUAGCCGGCCUGAGAGGGUGAACGGCCACAAGGGGAAUGAGAUACGGCCCUUACUCCUACGGGAGGCAGCAGUGGGGAAUAUUGGACAAUGGGGGCAACCCUGAUCCAGCAAUUCUGUGUGCACGAAGAAGGUUUUCGGAUUGUAAAGUGCUUUCAGCAGGGAAGAAGAAAGUGACGGUACCUGCAGAAGAAGCGACGGCUAAAUACGUG